CGCGGCUACGGGGCGCAGGGGCCAUGGUGCGCGGCAGGAUCUCCCGGCUCUCGGUCCGGGACGUGCGCUUCCCCACGUCGCUUGGGGGCCACGGCUCGGACGCCAUGCACACGGACCCUGACUACUCGGCUGCCUAUGUCGUCAUAGAAACUGAUGCAGAAGAUGGAAUCAAGGGGUGUGGAAUUACCUUCACUCUGGGAAAAGGCACUGAAGUUGUUGUCUGUGCUGUGAAUGCCCUCGCCCACCAUGUGCUCAACAAGGACCUCAAGGACAUUGUUGGUGACUUCAGAGGCUUCUAUAGGCAGCUCACAAGUGAUGGGCAGCUCAGAUGGAUUGGUCCAGAAAAGGGCGUGGUGCACCUGGCGACAGCGGCCGUCCUAAACGCGGUGUGGGACUUGUGGGCCAAGCAGGAGGGAAAGCCUGUCUGGAAGUUACUUGUGGACAUGGGGUGAACAACUGGAUGCUGAGGAGGAAAAAACUGGGCAAAUUAAAGGGGAAUGAGCUUCAGACCCCAUGCAGAGCUGGCUGUGAGUCUGGGUUUCACUGCUCACCAGCUGCAUGACCUUGAGCAUGUGACUUCCCCACUCUGAGCUGCAGUGGCCUCAGUGCAACACCUGGGUGGUGGUUAAAAACCUCGUGAUCCACAAAUGAAGGCCCUUGUUAUUAGUUGGCAAAAAAUUAAGGAAAAACAAAGAACAC
rnacentral:sRNA from 1 species